AAGAUGGUUUUGAUAUCUGCAAGCAGUUUCCAGUAACAAAGUUAAACAAGAGGGAGGAUGUUCUUUGUCAGACCCGUCAGCUACGUCGUAAACCUUACCAUGACAUCUUCAAACUCGUAAUUUAAGCAGCUAUAACGCAAAGUAUCAACGAUCAUAUAUAACAGAUAAUAAUUUGAAUGUUAUUUAAAAACAGAUAAUAACAGGCUGGGUUGUUCAAAAAUAUAUGAUUGCUAUCCACCAGCAUGAUCAGAGUAUAUGAUUGGUUUGAAGUACUACGAAGAACGUACAUUCGUACAACACACAAAGAAAUAGUAAAUCUAAAGAUUGAGCGCUAUUGUUUCAUUGCUGAAUGAGCAUUCAUUUAAUUUUUUGUUUAAGUCUAAUAAUUUUGAAUACAUUAAGCUCCUGAA